GUGGUGCUCACUUCACCACAUCUCCUAAAAUUGGAACAAUACAGAAAAGAUUAACUUGGCUCCUACCCAAGUAUGAGAUGCAAAUUUAUGAAGCAUCCCGUAUUUUU